CGCGUUCUGCACGCGCAGAUUUCCAGCGACGGGCCGCGGAGGCGGCUUGCUCUCUUCCUCCCCGAGAGCAGUUGCCUCGCCCUUCCACCCCCGCCAUUCUGGCAAUGGUUUGUCCUGGAGCAAAGCAUAAAGGGAGCCGAAGGCAGCGGGGGCGGCCCUUCUCUUUUCGGCGCGCGAGGGAGGUAGCGUUUCGGCGGUAAUGGAGGCAAAGAAGCACAUUGGACGCGUGGCGCUGCCUCGGAGGGUCCCCGGACGGAAGCGGGAGAGCAGGGGCGGCGGCGGCGGCUUCCACGACCCUCCUGACGUUGCCCUGGCGAGGCGCGUGACUGGCGGAAACACGUGGUGAGUCUGACCUCACAGCGGGAGACCCCGCGUCCGCCUGCCUUAGACGUUGGAGAGACGUAGAAGAUGUAAGCAGAAAUAGCUGCCAUUUUGAAUGACAAAUAAUGCUUAGGAUGCAGUUGUAGAAUGAGUGAAUCAGAAAGUAAAAGACAGAAGAUGGGCUUUUUGCAUAAAGACUGGUAAAAGAAUGAUUGUUCUGAGGCAGUUUCAUAGCAACUGUGCUCUAGCCCUGCAGCAAAAUCCAAGAAUAUACAUACUCCAGGAUGUUAUGAAGAGUGAUCAGAUCAAUUGCAGUUGCAAAGUCCCUCUUUGCCAUGAAAAUGAACUUAAUCCCCAAAAAACAUUUCCACUGUAUUUCAGCCCUGCCACAACAGGAGCAGCUGACAUGAUGUCAGUGAUUCCCUCGUUAACACAGGUGUCAGUGUUGACCAGGACAAGGCUGGAGACCACUCUGUCAUGCUGGUUGAGUUAGAA